rnacentral:rRNA from 1 species
GACGUAGGGCGCGAGCGUUGUCCGGAAUUAUUGGGCGUAAAGAGCUCGUAGGCGGUCUGUUACGUCUGCUGUGAAAACCCAGGGCUUAACCCUGGGCUUGCAGUGGAUACGGGCAGACUAGAGGCAGGUAGGGGAGAAUGGAAUUCCCGGUGUAGCGGUGAAAUGCGCAGAUAUCGGGAGGAACACCGGUGGCGAAGGCGGUUCUCUGGGCCUGACCUGACGCUGAGGAGCGAAAGUGUGGGGAGCGAACAGG